rnacentral:misc_RNA from 1 species
GUACUCUCCAGGAGCAAUCUUUUUUUUACUGAAAUCUGAUGUCUCAUGUCAAAUACUAUACUGAAAUGUUGUUAAAAGUUGGCCAUAUGUUGCACAGCAUUUUGAUUAUGUUUCCUGCAUAUGUUCUGGUCAGUACUAAAAAAAAUGAUCAAUAAUAGAAGGAAAUGCUGCUACAUCUGUUAGAUUUUCAUAGGAUUAUGUAUUUCCUGAUAUUCAAUACAAAAAGUUGUAUGAUUGUUUCAGUACUUAAAAAAAACAUUUAUUAUUUGUCAGAAAUUGAUAUUGUCUUAACACUUUUGUUAUUGAUGUUCAAAAUUUGAAAAGAACAGGUAAAUAUUAAGUUGUGUAAUUCUGCAAUGAAUGUCUGUUUAAUGUGUCACCAAAACUUGCGCAAAACUUCAGAAGAAAGAAGAUUAAAAGAAGAGCAAAGCAGUAAUAGACACUGAGUGAUAUAAAAACGCGUGUGAGCUGUUUAUCGCGUGCGGGAACCUUGCCGAAAAUGGACUUUUGUUGUUUACAUCUCAUUGUUCAUUCAUAUCUAUUCAUUAGUGUUUGGGAUAUCAACUCAAUUGUAUAAUGUUAUAACUUAUCAAUUUUUGUUGUUGAAGUAUUCACAAAAAAAUAAAAUGAUGGGGAAAAUGUUGAUUUAAAUGUAGAAAAUCUUUGCAAAAUUCAUACAUUCAACUUGUACCUACACUUUCAUUUUGUGAAGGGGAAAAUAUUUUUUUGCCUCACCAAACAAUUUGUAAAACUUAUUUUCUUAUGAAAUUUGUUGUAAAGUAUUUUACAAAUGUAUAUUGUUUGGUUUGGCAAAAUCUGUUUAUUUCAUCAUCAUUUCCCGAGUACAUUGUAUGUUGUAUUGUUAAACUUACAAAUGGUUUUUGUAUUGAUUAAGAAUAUCAAACUCAAGAAACCUCACACAGGACCAAUUCCGACUGUUAAAGGUUCCUUGAAUAAUUUAUGCUCACUUAACAAUAAUUUAUUUUUAAUCAUAUGCCUGAAAUGUGUCAAAUUAUACAUUGUACCAUAUAUAAAUUUAUGGUUUUUGAGUACAAAAAAGUGUUUUCAGUUUUAAUCGGCAUAAAAUAGGCAUGUAAUAUACAGAAGCAUAUGUAUUUGCUAUUUUUCUGUAAACACUGCCUUACAUUGCUAUAUAUUGAUUACUGUGCCAAAUUAUUUACUAUGUUUAUUUUACAUAUAUACAUGUCUUAAUUUAUAGGCUACGAGUUAUUAUCUUUUUAAUGAUUUACAAUUGUUAUUAAGCUGUGAAUAAACACACAAAGACUUCC